rnacentral:rRNA from 1 species
ACGCUCGACACCUACGGGAGGCAGCAGUAGGGAAUCUUCCACAAUGGGCGCAAGCCUGAUGGAGCAACACCGCGUGAGUGAAGAAGGGUUUCGGCUCGUAAAGCUCUGUUGUUGGAGAAGAACGUGCGUGAGAGUAACUGUUCACGCAGUGACGGUAUCCAACCAGAAAGUCACGGCUAACUACGUGCCAGCAGCAGCGGUAAUCUGAGCGGGCUGGCAAGGC